rnacentral:lncRNA from 12 species
CCCCCCCCCCCCCGGGACAUGGUGGUGGCCAGGGAGCCUUGUGACAUCAGAGAGCCCCGCCAUGGCUGAGGGUUUCUAGGGGCACCGCAGGGCCCGCGGUGCUCAGUCCCGGGAGAGCCACUUUGGCAGGAGGGAGCAACUCCCGGGAUCGGUCAGAGACAGAGGCCCAGUGCGACGGACGAGGACAAAGCCGCCAAAGGCAGCCCCGAGUCCCGGUGCCCCGGCCCCGUGCCCAGCUGGCCACACGCCCAGGCCCUCAGCGGGCAUGGGUGCUGCCUCCAGCACUGGGAAGAAAGGCUUGAGGCCAGUGAUGGAGGAGGAGCCCCAGCCUGGUUCCCUGGGGGGGCCUGGCUCCCCAGGCCGCGUGGGCACAGCCGUGGCAGCAGAGGCAGCUGCUGCCCCGGCCAGUGCCUCUCCUGCCCCCGACAGUCCCCUGAGGGCCGAGCCGCCAGCUGCUGCCCUGGCCGGAGCUGCUGGGCAGGAGGAGCCGCCCGAGCCUCUGGCUGUACAGCAGGAGGUGAGGGCAAUGCAGUCUUCUGUGGCCAGCAAGGAGCUGCCAUCAGCAGCGACGCAGAGCCACGUGCCUGGCCCCCAGCGGCCCCCAGGCUGCAGCCCAGCACUGCUGCACUUGGCUCGGCGCCUCAGCAGCAGGGCCGUGUGCCAGGCCCUGCAGCACCUGGAGCAAUGUACGGAGGUGAAGAUGGCUGAAGCAGCCACAUCGGAACGGCAGCAGAGCCCCCUCAGCCCCUCGCCCGCCCAGCUGGGAGCGCGCAGUGAGCAGCAGGAGGGGCCAGCGGCGGGGAGGGUGGGGUCCGAGCAAGGCAGCUCCGAGGAGGACUCGGACUGGGACGUUUCCUGGGACGACACCAGCGACGAAGACAUGUCCCAGGGGGAGUAUGACUCAGACAUGGAGCUGUCCCCUGGGGUCGAGUAUGGAGCCCGAGAUCGCGUCCCUUGGGAGGAGGACAUGACCUCCAGCACUGGGAGCAGCGCCUUGAACCCAGUGAUGGAGGACGAUGACGAUGACGAUGACGAUGACGAUGACGAUGAUGAUGACGAUUAUGAUGACGAUGNACCCUCAGACCUUUCUGCGCAGCGGUGGCAGCAGAGGCAGCCCCUCUCCUGCCCAGAGCCU